CGGCUGAGCGGAGCCGACCUGUACUCCCUGUGCAGCGAGGCCGUGAUGGCGGCGUUCAAACGCCGGGUAGCCCGUGUCGACCAAGGCCUGGAGGUGGAGGACGCCGAGCUGGCCCUCCUGCCCGAGGACUUUGAGCAGGCCCUCAGCACCCUGCAGCCUUCGGUCUCGCAGCAGGAGAUGGAGCAGUACCGGCUGAUGCAGCAGCGGCUCUCUGCCUGAUGACCCGCGGCGCCAACCGCUGGCAGGACAAGGGCCGGCAGGGACCACGGGUACAAGCGGCCGGGACCCCAGGGAAAAAGUGGCCGGGUCCCAGAGCCGCCAACUACCCAACAUCUGAUGGAACGGCCGCAGCAGAGUAGGACUCGGCACAUGGGACCAGGAGGUAUCGGACGUGAGAGCCGUAGGCCGGGCCAGCGUUUAUUGCCUCUGAGGGGGUGAGGGUGAGCUGCCCCCUCGACCCACUGCCCUCACUCUGGUGAAGGGGCUCCCACCUUGCUGGUGGGCAGGGAAUCUCAGGGUCAGAUCCAGUGACAGUGAUGAGAGAUUGCUGAGUGUAAAUAAAUCGGUUUGAGACUGUUGCGGCCUCUGAUAUUCAUUUCAACAGAAUAAAUGUUCAAAAUCUU